rnacentral:rRNA from 1 species
GAGUUUGAUCUUGGCUCAGGAUGAACGCUGGCGGCGUGCUUAGCACAUACAAGUCGAACGAAGCGCCUUAUUUGAUUUUCUUCGGAACUGAAGAUUUGGUGACUGAGUGGCGGACGGGUGAGUAACGCGUGGGUAACCUGCCCUGUACAGGGGGAUAACAAUCAGAAAUGACUGCUAAUACCGCAUAAGACCACAGCACCGCAUGGUGCAGGGGUAAAAACUCCGGUGGUACAGGAUGGACCCGCGUCUGAUUAGCUGGUUGGUGAGGUAACGGCUCACCAAGGCGACGAUCAGUAGCCGGCUUGAGAGAGUGAACGGCCACAUUGGGACUGAGACACGGCCCAAACUCCUACGGGAGGCAGCAGUGGGGAAUAUUGCACAAUGGGGGAAACCCUGAUGCAGCAACGCCGCGUGAGUGAAGAAGUAUUUCGGUAUGUAAAGCUCUAUCAGCAGGGAAGAAGGUGACGGUACCUGACUAAGAAGCCCCGGCUAACUACGUGCCAGCCGCCG